UUACAGUCAUGAAUUUUGGUUAGCCAUCACUUCUAUACACAUAAUCACCAAAAAAUAUAAAGAAACAACAAAAGAAUUAAAUUUGUGAAACCUAAAAAAUCAACAAUAACUAAGUGUUGCGGUGUGCUGGGUGAGGUAUGCAUAUCAAAAUAUCAAGAAAGUACAAUAAACAGAACGAAAGAUGCAGAUCAAGAUCCCAACAUCAAAACGCUUAUAUCAGGAGAACCAUUUACAUUACCCACUUUUUUCCCCUUUAUAUUUCGUCUUUCCUCCCAUUCAUUCAAAAAGAACAGGCCAAGAUAUAGUUUUUUUUCAAAAAUUAAGAUCAAUCUGUAUAAUAAACCUACUCCUUCUUCCUUGUCAUCCACACAUUCAAUAGCUAUUACCUUCCUGCUCUUCAGAUGGUAGAAGUCAAUAAGGUCAUCUGGCUGUGCAUGAGAAAUCUGAGCCUUUGCCUUUAAUUCCUCAGAUUCCCUUAACUGUUUCUCGGAAAGCAUCUUCACAAAGCUCUGGCGGCAAGACUGCAACCAUAUCUUCCUGAUAUUAUCACCAGUAUUGCAAAGCAAUCUUAUGCACACAACAAUCCUAUCAAAAGAAUCGUUAUCAAUUGGGUGUGGCAGAACUGGAGAUUGUCCUAAUUGCAACAUUGAGACCAUGAUCAGUAAGGCCUGUGAGGAUGCUUUAUUCACUUCAACUCGAGAUGGCUGCACCUCCUCCAAUCUCAAAACAAGCUUUGUCAGUGUGCAAGCCACAACUGCCCCAAGGAAAAAAUCACCAGUGAGAAGAAGGGAUCUUAAAUUUCCAGAAGUCAAUGUUCCCUGAACAAUGGUAGGAGGGGAAAAAGCGGUUUCAGAGGCGGCACUCUGAGUAGCAUAAGUUCCAUCAGCAAGAACAGCUGGUCUCCUGGAAGAAACAGUAGUUGAGCUGGCUUGCUGCUGAACUUUCUUAGAAGAAUCAGUAUCCUCCCCUUCUUCAGAGACUGAGAAAAAUGGCAACUCUCCAAGACACUGCUUAAUGGUUGCUAUGCCAUUCUCAACUUCAGAAAGAGACUGGCAAUACUCUCCAAUGAUCCAAAGAGCGCAAGUGCACACUCGUGCAGCUCUGAUCUGGUAGAAGUUGUCCAAUAAUCUUGUUAUAAUAGAGACCCUCAGUUUAGGAUUCAUUUCAAUUAUUUCUCGAACAAAGAUAAUCACAUCUAUAGCUGAAGCAACAUUGCUGUCUCCCAAGAAAUCCAUCAGCAGAUGGACCACUGUGCUUGCCACCUCAGGGAACUUAAUGGCACAAGAAUGGAUGGCUUGAAUAAGCAUUUGCCUAUACUCACCAUUCUUCUCAAGCUCCCCACUCUGGGUCUUAACAACUUCUUUCUUCAACAUAAGAACUACCUCAUUGAUGUUUCUAGGAGUUAUCAAUUCAAGCACAAUGUCAAGAGUCUUCCUUCGAAUGUCAAGAUUAGGGCUGUUAAGUGCCCUCAGCACAUCCAUGAUCAGAUCAACCAUUAUAUCUCUGUGUGAAGACCUGAGCUCAUUCAGUCGGUCAAGUACAAUAAGCUUGACAUUGUUGUCACUCUGAGAUAGAAGAAGCUGAGAGUAGGUAUUAGCAGCAGCUCUAAUAGCAGUGGGUGCAGAUGACAAAGAGACAAGUGUCCCAGCGCAUUCAUAAAUAACUGCAGUUGAAGGGGCAUUCAACAAUGAUAUAAUAAUCUUGAUAUACUUCCCCUUCUCUCCCUUAUUGGUUCGGCAGACUUUCCGAAUCAACUCCAAUACAACCAUCUGAAGCAAUUCACCCCAUUCAGAAACUCUAUCAACAUGGGUCAACAGGUAAUUAAUUGCUCGAUCCUGAUCACAAGUAAAGAGCAUUAGGAAUGCAUUCCGCUUAGCUGAUGGAUCCUGCUCUGUCGAGAGAACCUUUUCAAUCAUUUCAGGUGCAUCCACCAGAAGCUGCUCACCCUGUGGAAGCUUAUAUAUUGCCAUUACAGCCAAUAUGGCAUUCCUCCGAAUGUACGGGUGUCGAUGUUGCAAAUUUUGCAAAACUGAAGGAAUCAAUGGCUCAAUUAUUUCUGUCUCGUUCAAGCGGCAAAGAAACCUCAAAGUAACCCCACGGAUAUAUUCAUUCGGGUGCUGAAGAUUGUUCCUUAGAUUUUGGCAAAUCAAAAUCAUUUCAGGCAAGACCCUACCUUUAGCAUCUGUUUUGUCGAUGAUCUCCAAAUAUAGAAGCAACAAUUUCUGUAUUGUGUGGUCCUCAGAAGGCAAAACAUAUCUAACAAUUGUGAUAAAAAGCUGGGGCAAUGUUUCACCAUUCAACAAAAGCAUGAUUGCCUUCUUCAUGGCAUCAACUUUUGCAGGCACAUCAUUGCCUUCAAGAGCUUCCUUAAUUUCAUUUGCAAUUGCUGGCGUCCCUUUGUCAAAAUGAAUGAGCAGAGUACAAGACUUCUCCAUUUUUGCAGAUAGUCUUUUCUGUCAUUUAAAAUUCAUGUAAAAAACAAUCCUAUGAAUAACUUGAUACAAAAAGAUCAAAUUUUCCAAGUUACGUGUUCCGUUAUUAUUCUAGAAAAAUCAAAUAAUUCAGCUAAGCAAAAUUAGAACACAAUUAAAUUAUGGAAGAAUUAGACAUCAUCAAUAAUCAUCACAUUAGUCAACCAUCAGUGCAACAGAUGCCAAAAUACAAGAUACAUUUCCAAUCAUAUGAUAAACUGUCCUAGUGUUCAUUUUCCAAUAACACAACAAUUCUAUUAUCUGCUCUCCAUAUCAAUCUCAGUGUGCAUGUGCAUGUGCUUUAGAAAGCGGAGACUAAGGAAAAUUUUUAGACCAGACCUCACACAAAAUCCUAUCCACCUCCCUUGUGAUUUCAAAUAACUAGAGAAAAACAGAAAUGAAACAAGUCUUAAUCCAGCCCUAAUCAGCAUUAAAAGGAUAAGUUACAAGUUAAACAGGCAUUAAAUGCAUAUGCCUCAACCAGAUCAGAUCUAACAUUGAAAUUUAAAGAUAAUUCAACAAUUCGGGCUAAGUAAAAACAUAUUAAACACACACACAAAAUACGACAAUGAUUAGCUACAUCAAGAUCUCAUAGUUGCUAAUAGUCCUAUCAAAAGCUAUAACUGAAUUCUCUCAAUUCACAUCACGAAUCGAAAAUCUACAUGCUAGAUUAACAAUUUCAACUUCAAAGAAAAAAAAAAAAAAUCAGUUCAAGCGCCUGUAGAAUGUAGAAGCAUGACAUAGAAGCGUAACAUUACCUGGAGUUAGAUAAGAAAAAUGAAACACCAUGAAUAACCAAAAUCGAACGAGAAAAUUAACAAAUGUUCAGUUUGGCUGCCGAGAAAAUGAAUCAACAAAUCCACAGGAUCUAAGAAAAUAGAGAGAGAAAGAAACGAACCUCUUGUGAUGAGCGUUGAGUGAAAUUGAUGAUUUAGAUGUCAGAUCUUAAAUGCUCAUUUGUUGUUAAUUGUUCAAAAUACAAACGACUGAGUGAGGACCAUUGCAGAUCUUUAGAUCUGCUCUCAGUUUAUAUGUGGGAGAGAGAACAGGCGAUUGAAGCAUUGAAAGUUAACCCGCAAGGGUCUUUUUGUCAUUCGCUUUUCUCUUUUCUUUUUUUUUUAUUAAAUUAAAUUGUUCCGUUUAAAAAAAACAUUGAAAUCCUUUAUAUAAACAGAAUAACAGAUGAUAAUUGUUGUGAUAAAUUUAAAUAAAUUACCAAAAUUGUUUUAAAAAAAAUGAUGUGGUCACUUAGGCCAUUGAUCAGGAGAUGAGAUAAAAGAUUAUUCUCCUAUAUGAAAUAAAUGUUUGAUUUAUCGUGUCUAAUAUAUAUUGAGUUGUUGUAAAAUUGUAAUAACAAUAUAUUGUGUUAUGAAUUUUAUUUUUAUUUUUUUCCCAAAACUAAUGGUGUUUCACUAGAAGUAAAUAAUUGGAAUUGAUGAGGGAUAAGGGGUUAAAAAAUUAUCUUAGACAAAUUUCUAUUCUUACCUUUCUGAAAAAUUACUCUCAGUGACAAAAUUCUAAUGGAAAUGAUAUUUUACUAACAAAAGACUUAAAAGAGCCAUUUUGAUUUCUUAAACGUCAAAAGUAAAACCAUAUUCGGUCUUCAAAAGUUAUGCUAAGAGGAAGUUAGCGACAAAGUCCGACUCGCGAUAAGAAGGGGGUUGAUCGGGUUCGCCCCGAUAAACGGUAGACGGACUUGAAAGCCCAGUUAAUACGGGCCUAAUGUAGCGAUAGAAGAUUUGCCAUGAAAGGGACAAGGAAGUCAAUAAUCGAAUGCUGAAAUGAUACCGUGAUCCAAAUUCUCGGUUAUGGACUGUGAAUUCGUGGCGUCGCAAGUUGGUUUUUCCUUUUAGCAAAAAUUGCUCAAUUUUGAUUGAAGAUCUGAUCUUGCUGAGGCAUCAUUUUUUUUUCAAGCGAAAUAAAUGCACACACACAUGAUAUAAAUGCUUUUCGUAAAGCAAAAUGAUGUAGAAAUCACAGAAAAAUCUUGUUCUAGUGUUGAGCAAUUUCGAUCAUCAUCAUUCGGUUGCCUUUCACAGUACAAUCUAUAUGAUUCAAUUAUUUACAGAUGUCACUUCCUAAAUGCCGUAGAUACAAACUGAACAAGAAAGGUGGGAUGGGCAAUCUUCUUAUUUGUCGGCAAAGCACCUGCGUCGGUUCAAGUUCAAUGAAUCAGUAAUUAGAAUACAAAUUAACAAAACUUGCCCCCCCCCCCCCCAAAAAAAAAAAAANNNNNNNNNNNNNNNNNNNNNNNNNNNNNNNNNNNNNNNNNNNNNNNNNNNNNNNNNNNNNNNNNUGCCCCCCCCCCCCCAAAAAAAAAAAAAAGCACACCAGUUUUUUCUGGGUAUUGAUAUUGUUCUUCCACCUCAAUUGCCUCCCUUUCCCUUCUGCUUGAGAGAGAUCUUAUUGCUGAGACCAAGUGCUAUGCCUUGGCUCUUGCUCUUUAUUUUGAUGCUGCCACCGAGUCUGCCGUUGUUCUUUUUCUCAAUGCUUACAUUUACCAAUGCAUCCUCACCGAACACACUCUUGGCAUAUAAGUUUGCGGUCAGAAAUCCACAGUUACCAUCUAGUCUGCAGUUCAAAUCAAGCCAAAACAACCAGUCGAAAGAAUCAGAAUAAUUAUUGUGAGAGAACCAUUCGCAUGCAUUAAAACCUGGAUGUCUCCUGAGAACUUGGAAGACAGGUCCACCUGCUACUAUGUUGCGACGAUGUAUUAAAAAAGUUUUGCAAGUGCAAAAUACACUUGUAGAUUUAUGAAUCGUACACAUUGUUCUCCAAAAGACUACAACAUAGAAAUGUGAACUAUAAGGUAAGGUAAGGUGAUAGGAUGUUGUUAAACUAUUGACUCGAUUGACUGUUAAUUUAACUGCACAUAUAUUCCCAUUGUUUCUAAGUCCACAUUGCACAGAGAACAAGCACCCAUUUCAGUUAUCAUUCAAGAGAUUUGUUUUGAGAUAGAUCCAACUUACGGUGCAGUCAGGCACUUCAUGUUGGUUAAUUUGAUUAUGUGAUCCAGAAAUUCCUUUUCAUCUUGAAUUUCCGUGUCAACAUCAACCUGCAGCGCCGAAGACAGAUGAAAAUUAAACUAGAAGUGUCAACUCAGCACCACCACCAAGACCAAGAGAGAUAAGUAAUCAGUCGCGGGAAUUAAAGGAAUUAAACAACUAAUUCAGAGUACAAGCAAGAAAAACUGAUGGCAUCAGGUUAAAAACGUCAUAUGGUGUUACAGUCACCGUUAACGUUAGUAGCAGAUACCUUGCGUUUCCACUCGAGCUCAGCCCACAGGGUUCUAAAAGCUUCAUCUGUACAAACUGCAGGAGACAUAUAGUCCCCGACGUCGAAGCAAAUUUCACUAAGAACAACUGUUUUCUCCCCAUUUGAAGUCCCGUACACCACAUGACCGCAUAUUACUCCGGUGUCAGUUGAGACCACCAUGAGUUUAACCUUUAUUUCCAUGUUUGAUUCAGGUGCUAAAGUGUUAUUCUGGGGAUCCUCAACAGGUUUAAGCUCAACAAUUUCAAGGCCACCCUUGAUAAUCAACUCCAUGACAAAAUUCUGGAGGGUUUGCUUGGUGCGGUUGAUAAUUGUAAUGUCAAGGACAAUAUCAUGGCGGUGAACAGUAACAAAGGCUUCAGCAUAUACAGGGUCACUAAAUCCAGUGAGUUGAUGAAUACGGCGGUUAAGCUUAUUUACACCAUCUCCAUCCUUGAUGAACUCUCCAGUUUCAAGUUUUUCAUCGUCUGGCGUCAUAUCUUCUAACUCAAGCUGACUCCUCCCCUGGAAGUUUCCGGUUGGGAAUUUUGAUUAACUAUCGCAUUUAUACAUAUAAUCACAAGAAAAUCAGGAUAUUUUGCACCUCAUAUUCCAAGUCAAGCUGACUCAAGAACUGGAUGUUUACCGUCUUGAUUAUUGAAUACCUCACAUUUUUACAUAAUAAUCACUAACAAAUAUAAAGAACCACAAAAGAACUAAAAUUGAGAAGUAUGGAAAAUUAACAAUAACUAACAGGUAAGCAAAGCUAAGUGAAGUAUCAAGUUUGUACCGAAAAGGAUCUAAUAAGUGGAUAAAAUCCUAAUGUCAAAGCAUAUAUCAGGUAAACCAUUUACAUGCAUGAACAGCAGGGCAAGAAAAAGUGUAGUUUUACAAAUUAAGAUAAACCCGAAUGACAAACCGUAGCUCUUUCCUUGUCAUCCACAAUGAAUAGCCAUUACCUUCAUGGUCUUUAGACUGUCAAAGUGAAUAAGGUCAUCUGGCUGUGCAUGAGAAAUCUGAGCCU
rnacentral:lncRNA from 1 species